rnacentral:rRNA from 1 species
CCUACGGGAGGCAGCAGUGGGGAAUAUUGCACAAUGGGCGAAAGCCUGAUGCAGCAACGCCGCGUGAGCGAUGAAGGCCUUCGGGUCGUAAAGCUCUGUCCUCAAGGAAGAUAAUGACGGUACUUGAGGAGGAAGCCCAGUCUAACUACGUGCCAGCAGCCGCGGAAAUACGUAGGGGGCGAGCGUUAUCCUGAAUUACAGGGCGUAAAGGGGGCGUAGGUGGUUUCUGAAGUCAGAGGGGAAAGGCAACGGCUCAAACGUAGAAAGCCUUUGAAACUGGGGAACUUGAGUGCAGGAGAGGAGAGUGGAAUUCCUAGUGUAGCGGUGAAAUGCGUAGAUAUUAGGAGGAACACCAGUUGCGAAGGCGGCUCUCUGGACUGUAACUGACACUGAGGCACGAAAGCGUGGGGAGCAAACAGGAUUAGAUACCCCAGUAGUC